GACGAACGCUUGCGACGUGCCUAAGAAAUGCAAGUCGAACGGGGUAGCAAUACCUAGUGGCGAACGGUCGCGUAACACGUGGGCAACCUGCCCUGAAGCGGGGGACAACGGCUCGAAAGAGCCGCUAAUACCGCAUGUGGAUUCGGCGUGGCAUCACAUCGCAUCCAAAGCCGCAAGGCACUUCAGGAUGGGCCCGCGGCCUAUCAGCUAGUUGGUGAGGUAACGGCCCACCAAGGCUUCGACGGGUAGCUGGUCUGAGAGGACGAUCAGCCGGAUU
rnacentral:rRNA from 1 species